ACGAGCUGCUCAUUCUGAAGGGUGGCAACAGGACGACAAACAUCAAGUGGUUGUUCUUGAUAAAGCCUUCUUUACAACAGGUGCAGGGAGCUGUCAUCAAGCGGAUCUAUUUAUUAUUUGGAAGAAAAGGUGGAUUGUUUCCUUGAAGCAAAGAUAAACGUUACGAGGAAUUCAACGUCUGCUGUCAUGACGUGAGGAUCCUGGAAUGUGCAACGAAGGCCCAGCCGUGAUUGGUUGUGUCCUCGUCACAUGGCAUACUGAGGUCGUUGCAGAGGUAGAGCGGGUUGCUGAGACCCCCGGUGGAUGGUGGCAGGCGAUGCAGAACAAAGCAAAGGAGUGAAGUGAAUGGAGCAGCAGGAACUGUUGAUGAUCUCUGGAUCAGUUCUCCUUCUCCUAACAAACUGUUCGAGCAAAGUCGUCAUCGAGCAAAGGCCUCCGUUCCAGACGUACUGAUUCAUGGUUUUAAUGUAUUAAUCCAGCCAAUAAGAAGUCAUCAUCAACUGGUCUGGCGCCGGGACCCACCAUCACCCCUUAAUGACAAGCAGUGACCCAAAUCGAGGAACAUUCUCAACUUCUCAAAUUAAUUCAAAAUCAAGAUCAUAAGCAGAAUUUUUUAUUUUAUAUUCAGGAUGUUUAAUUAUCCUCAAAACCAGAAUGGUUUGACCCAACCUGCCACACGCUGCUGAAAACAUGGACGGACGAGCCGGCAAAAAAACCACACUCCGCUGCAUUAAAAAAGUCCCUUCAAAAUAAAAUCACAGGAUGAAUUUUUUUGUGAUUUUUUAAUUUUUUUUAUUCAAAUUUGUAUUUUCCCAGGCAAAGGCCCGGGACCCACUAGUGGGUACAACUAUAUCAUGUUUAAAAAGUUGUAAUUUUCACCGCAGAACCAAGUAGAGAAGGCUACCAUUACCUAUGUGUUUUUGAUAGCGGGUGCUAGCUUAAGGAUAGGAGUCUUCUCUUCUCUUGGCGGUUCCAUUAAUGACGAUGUGGUUGAGGUUACAAGGCGGUCGAAGAAACCACCGUUGACUGUUGGAAGGACAAAGACCUUCUCCCGUCGGCGCCUCAUAGACCAAACCAAACUGUGGAAAUGAUUGACUUUGAUGUUGGACAGUCAUCCAGUCACUUCACCAUCCAACACAAUGGUCACAAGAAUGAAGCUUUUCAGCCGCUUUACCGGGAGCUUCAUGUCUCCUGGUAAGGCAAGGAUUCCAUUAAACCACCGCAACAUCACAAAGAGGAAAGUGAACGCCGUCUAGACGGGAGUUACGGCGUGUACCCGGCUGUUGGACUGAUUCUUCCCCUGGAGACGGACCGGUGCGACGUGGCCUCCUCCUUCCAGCACCUUGCUCUGGCUGCCAGACCAACAUAGAAUGCAAAGCCCCCGCCCCCCCUCCUUCACUCCCCCCUCCUCCCCCCCGCCCAUCUGCUCCCCGGCCGCUUACUGGAGGCUUUCGGGGGCUGCUGGUUUCAGAGCUGUGGAAUGUGAUGCCUCGGGUUCCAGAGCCAGUCGACAUCUGUUGCUUCUUCAAAAGAUGCAACUACAGGAACAUCUAUCAGCCUCUUAAUCGGCACGUACAUGUACAUAUAUGUAAAUAUAUUCUUAGAAUAUAUCUGUCUGCCUUCACACGUCCUCUUACUACAAACAUUCAUUCAAAAGCAUUUG